rnacentral:rRNA from 1 species
UACGGAGGGUGCGAGCGUUGUCCGGAAUCAUUGGGCGUAAAGGGCGCGUAGGUGGCGCGGCAAGCGGGCGGUGAAAGCUCGGGGCUCAACCCCGAGUCGGCCGUGCGAACUGUUGUGCUUGAGCACUGUAGAGGCAGGCGGAAUUCCGGGUGUAGCGGUGGAAUGCGUAGAGAUCCGGAAGAACACCGGUGGCGAAGGCGGCCUGCUGGGCAGUAGCUGACACUGAGGCGCGACAGCGUGGGGAGCAAACAGG